AACGAACGCUGGCGGCAUGCCUAACACAUGCAAGUCGAACGAGACCUACGGGUCUAGUGGCGCACGGGUGCGUAACGCGUGGGAACCUGCCCUUAGGUUCGGAAUAACUCCCCGAAAGGGGUGCUAAUACCGGAUAAUGUCUUCGGACCAAAGAUUUAUCGCCUUUGGAUGGGCCCGCGUUGGAUUGGCUAGUUGGUAGGGUACAAGCUUACCACGGCGACGAUCCAUAGCUGGUCUGAGAGGAUGAUCAGCCACACUGGGACUGAGACACGGACCAGACUCCUACGGGAGGCAGCAGUGGGGAAUAUUGGACGAUGGGCGAAAGCCUGAUCCAGCAGUGCCGCGUGAGUGAUGAAGGCCGUAGUGUUGUAAAGCUCUUUUACCCGAGAUGAUAAUGACAGUACCGGAAGAAUAAGCCCCGGCUAACUCCGUG
rnacentral:rRNA from 1 species